UAUCCUGCUCAGCCGGCAAGUCAACACAGUGGACGCUGUAGCGCUACCGCCACCUAGUGUUUGGGGGUGUAAUUGCAGAUUGACAGACACACGGACGCACAAAUAUAAAUGCCUAGCUACGUGUGUAGCCGACGGCGUAGCUACGCACGUAGAUCCUACGCAGGAGUAUAAAUCAAGCUUUGAGCAUCUGGGGGCCUGUUUCAAGAGCUAUUGUGGGACCUUGCCCAUAAAAGAAAGGGAAAAAAAUAAGAUUUUAAAGCACUGAAGUGGACGAAGCAGAUCACCACCUGGUGCUCUCUUCCUUGCCUACGCCUGCACACCGUUAUCCAUCCUGCUCUUGUGGCUUACGUAACAAGGCACUUCAAAGACCAGCCAGGGGAAGGUGGUGUCCAAGAAGACCGGAACGCUGGUCCAGAAAAAGGCAGCAACUGUGAAUCCCUAUGUGAAUUCCCUACCCUAAUAAAAAACCUCCUGGACUUUAAGUGAGACUUUAUGUAGUCCACAACACAUCGCCACACAGGACCUCACUUUCAAACAAACGAAAGCCCUCAAAACAACCAGAUCAUCAUAAGGUCAUUUUAAGGUAACAUGUCUCAGCAUUGUGUUCUGUUCAGUA